AAUCAAACUGCCAUAUAUAAAGAACUGAUCAUAAUUGCAUCGGAGGUAGGUGUUGAUGAAGAAUCUCCAGUGUCCACCACAGGUAAACGGCGGGAGUAACUAUGACUCUCUUAAGGUUGCCAAAUGCCUCAUCAUCUAAUUAAUGAUGCGCAUGAAUGGAUUAAUGAGAUU
rnacentral:ncRNA from 1 species